CCAUGACCUCCGCCCCGCCCCAUGCCCUCCGCCCCACCUCCAUGACCUCCGCCCCCACCUCCAUGACCUCCAGCGGGGCCUCCACCUUCGCCAUAUCCUCAGCCUCCUCUGACUACACGGUUCCCCCCCCCGGGGGUAAACCCGGGGAGCCCCCGGCGCCCCCGGUUUGGGAGGGGGGCGGCUGGCAGGACGCGGUGGGCGACUCGGGCAUCGAGGAGCUGGACGGCCACAGCAGCAGCGAGCAGCACCUGGAGAGGCUGGGGGAGGAGAGGGGUGGGGAGGGGGGAGGAGGAGGAGAGUACCAGGACCCCUACAUGUCUUACGCCGACAACCAAUCGUAUCAGAACACGAGUGCGGCAAACCCAGUGUCUCCAAGGAGGAGUCAGUACAAAGAGGCUGGGGGAAGGGCGCCCCCUGUGGCGCUACGCCGCCAGGGCAGCGCCCACCCUGCUCCCCCCCCCCACCCGGCCGUGCAGCCCCAGUUGCACGUGGAGGAGGACUUGAGGAGGGAGGACUUGAGGAGGGAGGACUUGAGGAGGGAGGACUUGAGGAGAGAGGACUUGAGGAGAGAGGACUUGAGGAGGGAGGACUCUGCAUCGGAGGAGAGGAAACGCAGGCUGAUCCGAAACAAAAUGGAGGAGGGCUUCGGCUCAGCGCUGGCCGCCUGCUUGGACCGACCCAUGGAGGCCCGGACCGCGGGCUGGGGGGAGGCGGGGGAGCCGGGGGAGCCGGAGCGCCCCGGGGGGGGGCUCCAGCGGGGCGGCAUUUCCCUGGAGGGACGCCGCCUUCACUCGCCGCUCUCUGGCGUGAAGGCGAGCAUCCUCAACGAGCUGAGCUCCAAGCUGCAGCAGAUGGGCAGCAUCAGGAGCCUUGAGGACUGGAGCCACGCCCCCCGCUCCCCCACCACGCACAGCUCUCCUGGCCUCUGCUCUCCCUUGCAUGUCUCCCCCUCUCCCCGACACACAGACUGAGAGAGGGAGAGAGAGGCUGGGAGCCCAGGAGUAGAGGGAGGGAGACGGAAAGAUGGAGCGUUGGAACCAGCCGGCGGACCGGCGUGGAGCGCCCGGGGAAGACCUGGACCCCCCCGAGGGGCAGGGGGUGAACAUCAUGGAGGCACUGAGCGCCCCGCGGGGAGGGAGGACUCUGCACGCACGUUCACCUUCUGGAGCGCGCUGUCGUAGAUGAACAACCACACACACACACACUCACUCACUGUCACACACACACACACACACACACACUCAGUGACAGAGCCCAUCUGUUGGCUAGACUCAUGGCGUGUUGGCGAUGGGGCUGAUCUCCGUGGCGAUGGGGCGGAUCUCCGUGGCGAUGGGGCGGAUCUCCGUGGCGAUGGAGAUCCCUUAAGCCUUGCUUCUACAGACGGUUUCCGUGGAAGCCAGACGCUGACAUUAGGACGACACUUUUAAACAGCCUCCGACAAACGGGGACAGCCAAUCAUUGAACCACAGGAGCGGAGGUCAGCCUGGCCUCAACACAAACCGGGGAUUAGUAAUCCGUGGGUACGGUUAGAUAGCAAUGUAGGCUUUUUUUAUACUGAGGUCAUUUCUUUGCUCCCCAAAUAAUUAAUCUUCUGGAAUAAGUUUGUGUGUAGUAGCAGAGCACUGAAUAUGUCCUGUGAGUGAACAGAUGAAGUUAGGGUUAGGUUUAGGGUUUGGGGUAGGGGUUAGAGUUGGGUUUUGGGGUUAGAGUUAGGGUUAGCGUUGGGUUUUGGGGUUAGGGUUGGGUGUUGGGGUUAGGGAUAGAGUUUGAGAUAGGGUAAGGGUUGGGGUUUGGGGUUAGAGUUAGGGUUAGAGUUGGCUUUUGGGGUUAGGGUUAGCAGGUUUUUAGGUUAGGGUUAGGGCUGGGUUUUGGGGUUAGCGUUGGGUUUUUGGGUUAGGGUUAUGAUUAGGGUUGGGUUUGGGGUUAGAGUUAGGGUUUUGGGGUUGGAGAUAGGGUUAGGAUUGUGUUUGGGUUUGGGGUUAGAGUUAGGGUUUUGGGGUUAGGGUUAUGAUUUGGGGCUGGGUUAGAGUUAGGGUUUUGGGGUUGGAGAUAGGGUUAGGGCUGGGUUCUGGGGUUAGAGUUAGGGUUUUGGGGUUAGGGUUAUGAUUUGGGGCUGGGUUUGGGGUUUAGUGUUAGGGUUUUGGGGUUGGAGAUAGGGUUAGGGUUGGGUGUUGGGGUUAGGGUUAGGGUUGGGUUUGGGUUUGGGGUUAGAGUUAGGGUUUUGGGGUUGGAGAUAGGGUUAGGGCUGGGUUCUGGGGUUAGAGUUAGGGUUUUGAGGUUAGGGUUAUGAUUAGGGCUGGGUUUGGGGUUAGGGAUAGAGCUCUCGCGGUGAUGUUCUUAAUUGUUAAAUACAAGUUGUGCAUUAUAAGGACUAAACAAAUAUUGAAUAAUAACUGUUCAAGUUCUUUUAACCUCAACGACGUCGAUCAGAAAAAGGAAAUGGUGCAUUUUUUAACUGGAACAGAAACAAUUGAAGACGCUUCUUCCAACUUUCUUGGACAAUAUUUGCAUAUUCAUGAGCCAAACAGAUGCCGUUCUGGUGGAACAGCAUCACACACACACACACAGACACACAAACACCAACACCCACUCACAUACACUCACAUACACACACCCGAGCAGGUGCAUCGAUAAGGGCUUAUCACCCCAACUAGUUGAACCAUCGGCCUCAGAGUCUGUUUACUGUGUGCGACAUUUACAGUUAUUGUGUGUAUGUGUGUGUGCGUGUGUGUGAGUGUGUCUUUGUAACGCCCUCAUCCUUUCUGAGGAAAGCUUAGUGUUACUGUUUUCCUUUUGCACCACUUGACAAUCCCAGCGCUGCCCUGUUCCACCGUAAACUCCCCAGAGACCAAGGUCACAGAGCGGCCAUAUUGGUUCCCUCUUGGCCCUGGGCGCCUGCGUCCAGAGCCAAGAUGGCGCCCAGAGCCAAGAUGGCAGCCAGAGCCAAGAUGGCAUCCAGAGCCAAGAUGGCAGCCAGGGGAAGAGGGCCCAGCAGUGACCCUCAGCCUGCUGCGAGAGGAAGACUCUUUGUUUAUAGGUCUAAACAAAUUAUACAAAAGUACAUAUACCAAGAGAAUAGAAUAAUUUAACCACAAUUUAAUAUUAUUAAGUAUGUAAAGAUUUUUAAGAAUCUCUGUCUUCCAAAUAGUGUGGAAGAAUGUUUGUGAGCCUGGACUCCUCUGUUCCUUUAGUUGGUAAUGCUUUCUCCACUGCCGCUGGGUCCCAGAGUGCACCUCUCUGGUCUAACCUCCCUAACCCUAACCCUAACCCUAACCUCCCUAACCUUAACCCUAACCCUCUGGUCUAACCUCCCUAACCCUAACCCUCUGGUCUAACCUCCCUAACCCUAACCUCCCUAACCCUAACCCUCUGGUCUAACCUCCCUAACCUUAACCCUAACCCUAACCCUCUGGUCUAACCUCCCUAACCCUAACCCUAACCCUCUGGUCUAACCUCCCUAACCCUAACCCUAACCCUAACCCUACCCUCCCUCCAGGCAGUGCCUCGGCCCCGCCCUCCUCCGGCCUCUCCCCGCUCUGCAGAACAGCAGCAGCAGGGAAAGCAUUCAAUGUGUGGUUUUCUAAAAAGAAUAUUCUAGGUUUAGUAAACAUAAAGAAUAUAACUAUACAAAGUAUGAGCCUACAUUUGCAGAGAUAAAAUAUAUACAUAUAAAUUAAUAUAUAUAUAUUAAUAUUUGUUAAAUAAAAAACAGUGUAUACUGGUUUGAAAAAAUCGGAUAGUUCUAUGAAUAAGGUGUUGAAAUAAAUGCUGAAUAAAAUAAAUAGGCCGUGUCCUUUUAUUGAUUCCCGCCAGAGUCCCACCAUUACCGGGGGGGGGGGGACACAUUCCCCACGCCUGCGCCCAACGGCUCGCAGCACGCCAUGGCGCAACCUUGACCCCCC
ensembl:lncRNA